rnacentral:rRNA from 1 species
GAUGAACGCUAGCGGCAGGCUUAAUACAUGCAAGUCGAACGGUAACAGGCCCGGCAACGGGUGCUGACGAGUGGCGCACGGGUGCGUAACACGUAUGCAACCUACCCUUAGCCGGGACAUAACACUGAGAAAUCAGUGCUAAUAUUCCAUGGUAUUACGAAGAGGCAUCUUUUUGUAAUUAAAGAUUUAUUGGUUAGGGAUGGGCAUGCGUCCCAUUAGUUAGUUGGAGUGGUAACGGCACACCAAGACGAUGAUGGGUAGGGGUCCUGAGAGGGUUAUCCCCCACACUGGUACUGAGACACGGACCAGACUCCUACGGGAGGCAGCAGUAAGGAAUAUUGGGCAGUGGGCGGGAGCCUGACCCAGCCAUGCCGCGUGCAGGAAGACGGCCCUAUGGGUUGUAAACUGCUUUUGUCUGGGACUAACAGCCGGGUCGUGACCCGGCCUGCAGGUACCGAAUGAAUAAGCAUCGGCUAACUCCGUGCCAGCAGCCGCCGUAAUAC